rnacentral:rRNA from 1 species
CCUAACACAUGCAAGUCGAACGGUAACAGGAAACAGCUUGCUUUUUUGCUGACGAGUGGCGGACGGGUGAGUAAUGUCUGGGAAACUGCCUGAUGGAGGGGGAUAACUACUGGAAACGGUAGCUAAUACCGCAUAACGUCGCAAGACCAAAGAGGGGGACCUUCGGGCCUCUUGCCAUCAGAUGUGCCCAGAUGGGAUUAGCUAGUAGGUGGGGUAACGGCUCACCUAGGCGACGAUCCCUAGCUGGUCUGAGAGGAUGACCAGCCACACUGGAACUGAGACACGGUCCAGACUCCUACGGGAGGCAGCAGUGGGGAAUAUUGCACAAUGGGCGCAAGCCUGAUGCAGCCAUGCCGCGUGUAUGAAGAAGGCCUUCGGGUUGUAAAGUACUUUCAGCGGGGAGGAAGGGAGUAAAGUUAAUACCUUUGCUCAUUGACGUUACCCGCAGAAGAAGCACCGGCUAACUCCGUGCCAGCAGCCGCGGUAAUACGGAGGGUGCAAGCGUUAAUCGGAAUUACUGGGCGUAAAGCGCACGCAGGCGGUUUGUUAAGUCAGAUGUGAAAUCCCCGGGCUCAACCUGGGAACUGCAUCUGAUACUGGCAAGCUUGAGUCUCGUAGAGGGGGGUAGAAUUCCAGGUGUAGCGGUGAAAUGCGUAGAGAUCUGGAGGAAUACCGGUGGCGAAGGCG